rnacentral:rRNA from 1 species
GACGAACGCUGGCGGCGUGCCUAAUACAUGCAAGUCGAACGCUUCUUUCCUCCCGAGUGCUUGCACUCAAUUGGAAAGAGGAGUGGCGGACGGGUGAGUAACACGUGGGUAACCUACCCAUCAGAGGGGGAUAACACUUGGAAACAGGUGCUAAUACCGCAUAACAGUUUAUGCCGCAUGGCAUAAGAGUGAAAGGCGCUUUCGGGUGUCGUUGAUGGAUGGACCCGCGGUGCAUUUGCUAGUUGGUGAGGUAACGGCUCACCAAGGCCACGAUGCAUAGCCGACCUGAGAGGGUGAUCGGCCACACUGGGACUGAGACACGGCCCAGACUCCUACGGGAGGCAGCAGUAGGGAAUCUUCGGCAAUGGACGAAAGUCUGACCGAGCAACGCCGCGUGAGUGAAGAAGGUUUUCGGAUCGUAAAACUCUGUUGUUAGAGAAGAACAAGGACGUUAGUAACUGAACGUCCCCUGACGGUAUCUAACCAGAAAGCCACGGCUAACUACGUG